rnacentral:tRNA from 1 species
UGGGGCGUCGCCAAGUGGUAAGGCAGCGGUUUUUGGUACCGACAUUCGUAGGUUCGAGUCCUUCCGCCCCAG